rnacentral:rRNA from 1 species
AGAGUUUGAUCCUGGCUCAGGAUGAACGCUGGCGGCGUGCCUAAUACAUGCAAGUCGAACGGGUUUAGCAAUAAACAAGUGGCGACCGGGUGCGUAACACGUAGCUGAUCUGCCCUUCAGCGGGGGACAACAGGCCGAAAGGACUGCUAAUACCGCAUGGACUUCAGGGAAUUAGAAAGCCUGAAGAAAACUUCCGGGGCUGAAGGAGGAGGCUGCGACCCAUCAGGUAGUUGGAGAGGUAAAAGCUCCCCAAGCCGACGACGGGUAGGGGGCCUGAGAGGGUGACCCCCCACACUGGGACUGACACACGGCCCAGACUCCUACGGGAGGCAGCAGUAAGGGAUAUUGGGCAAUGGGCGAAAGCCUGACCCAGCAACGCCGCGUGGAGGAUGAAGGCCUUCGGGUCGUAAACUCCUUUUGCGAGGGACAAGCAAGGAUGGUACCUCGUGAAUCAGUCACGGCUAACUACGUGCCAGCAGCCGCGGUAAUUC